CCCUUAGAUGUUCUGGGCCGCACGCGCGCUACACUGACGCAUUCAACGAGUCUAAAACCUGGUCUGAUAGGGCUGGGUAAUCUUUUGAAUGUGCGUCGUGAUUGGGAUAAAUGAUUGUAAUUCUUCAUUUUCAACGAGGAAUGCCUAGUAAACGCAAGUCAUCAGCUUGCAUUGAUUACGUCCCUGCCCUUUGUACACACCGCCCGUCGCUACUACCGAUUGGAUGGUUUAGUGAGAUCCUCGGAUUGGUCACGGCACGGUGGCAACACUGCGUCGGUGUGCCGAGAAGACGAUCAAACUUGAUCAUCUAGAGGAAGUAAAAGUCGUAACA
rnacentral:rRNA from 1 species